CGCAGCCGCGGUAGUUCCAGCUCCAAUAGCGUAUAUUAAAGUUGUUGCAGUUAAAAAGCUCGUAGUUGAAUUUCGGGGUCAGUAGGCUGGUCGUGCCACUGGUAUGUACUGGUCUCGCUGAUUCCUCCCUCUUGUAGAACCGUAAUGCCAUUAAGUUGGUGUUGCGGGGAAACAGGACUGUUACUUUGAAAAAAUUAGAGUGUUUAAAGCAGGCUAACGCUUGAAUACAUUAGCAUGGAAUAAUGAAAUAGGACGAUCGAUCCUAUUUUGUUGGUUUCUAGGGUUGACGUAAUGAUUAAUAGGGAUAGUUGGGGGCAUUAGUAUUCAAUUGUCAGAGGUGAAAUUCUUGGAUUUAUUGAGGACUAACUACUGCGAAAGCAUUUGCCAAGGACGUUUUCAUUAAUCAAGAACGAAAGUUAGGGGAUCGAAGACGAUCAGAUACCGUCGUAGUCUUAACCAUAAACUAUGCCGACUAGGGAUCGGAUGAUGUUAAUUUUUUAAUGACUCAUUCGGCGCCUUA
rnacentral:rRNA from 1 species